GGAUGUGUGGCGUUCUGGCAGCGAUGUCUGUCACCCCACUGAUCACCAGGGUUAAUCUGGCUGACAACAUCAGUUUGCUAGGCUUCCCUUCCUUUCUUACCUCUCCAUGUGCAUCCCUCCCAAAGCUAUGCACUUAUAAGGAAGGACAACCUGCCCAGACAGAGGAGGAGCCUUCAGUCAAGGGUACACAGAUAGCUUCGGUCCCCGGCCAGAACCUGCAGACAAGCUCUCAAGAAACAAAAGGCCAUAUGCAACGGGAUUCUAGCCUAAAGUCCAAAACCGGUGACACUAAUGUUCAAUGACAGAAAUCAGGGCUGGGGAUGUGUCUCAGUUGGCAGAGCCC
rnacentral:snRNA from 1 species